rnacentral:rRNA from 1 species
UACGGAGGGUGCAAGCGUUAUCCGGAUUCACUGGGUUUAAAGGGUGCGUAGGCGGACAGGUAAGUCAGUGGUGAAAUCUCUGGGCUUAACUCAGAAACUGCCGUUGAUACUAUUUGUCUUGAAUAUCAUGGAGGUAAGCGGAAUAUGUCAUGUAGCGGUGAAAUGCUUAGAUAUGACAUAGAACACCAAUAGCGAAGGCAGCUUACUACAUGGAGAUUGACGCUGAGGCACGAAAGCGUGGGGAGCAAACAGG